UACGUAGGGGGCAAGCGUUGUCCGGAUUUAUUGGGCGUAAAGAGCGUGUAGGCGGUUUGGUAGGUCCGCUGUGAAAACUCGAGGCUCAACCUCGAGACGCCGGUGGAAACCAUCAGGCUAGAGUCCGGAAGAGGAGAGUGGAAUUCCGGAUGUAGCGGUGGAAUGCGUAGAGAUCCGGAAGAACACCGGUGGCGAAGGCGGCCUGCUGGGCAGUUGCUGACGCUGAGGCGCGACAGCGUGGGGGAGCAAACAGG
rnacentral:rRNA from 1 species